rnacentral:rRNA from 1 species
AUGGCGUUCCUCUCCGAUGCCCAAUCUGAGACUAAUGGCGGCCGUGGUGCUGCUGCAAGAUCGAAUCUUCAUGAGUUCUUUGAUCAGCUUGACCUAAACGAAGAGGAGUUUCAUGACGUUCAGAUUGAUGAAGAUGACCCGGUGAUCAAUGGAAGCGUUCGCUGGCUAGCCCUGGCGAGAGUUCAUACGGAGAAAUCCUUCAGCCAGAGUGUGUUCUACAAGGACAUGAGGGCAGCCUGGAAUCCCGCUCAGCAGGUUCGCUUCAAGCUGGUAGGUUCCAAUCGAUUUGUGGUUCAGGCAUCGUGCCUGGGAGAUUGGGAGCGUAUUCUGCAUCAAGGCCCAUGGUUGUUUCGUAAUAUGGCAGUGUUGUUGUGCCCCUACGAUGGGUUUACUAGGGUUGAGGAUAUUGCAAAUAACCUUAUGCCAAUUUGGCUGCAGAUCCACAAGUUGCCUGAUGGCUUCAACAAACCGGGAAUAGUUGAGAAAUUGCUUAAGGGUGCUGGGAUGAUCCUUGAUAUGCGCCUUAAUGGUAAUACCCGUGGAGAUAAUGUCAGGGUCAUGGUUCAGCAUGACAUCAAUAAACCUCUUACAAGGUUUGUUAGCAUUGUUCGGGCCAAAGAAAGAGUGAUCUUCAUGGUCCGCUAUGAAAAACUUGCAAAGUUCUGUAAGGUAUGCGGACUCAUUGGCCAUGCUCUUAGGGAGUGUGGCACGGGGAUACAUGAUGAGAAGAGCCACAAGUAUGGUGACUGGUUGUAUGCAGAACCUUUGAAACGUCUGGAAGGGGAACUGGAGCAACAACCCGUUAAAAAUUCCCAGGCCAGUCCUCCGAAAGCCAAAGAUAAGGAGGCUGCUAUUCAGGAUCCGGAGCUGACUGGUACAGCGACAAGCCCGGUUAAGUGUGGUACAGUUUUGAUGGAAUGUGACAAAGGUGUCCGCAAGAGGCUCUUGCUGGUGGGAGAGGAGAAAACUGAUGAUCAAACCCCACUCCCAGCGACAACUUCCAUGUUGGCUAUUACAGAUGGUAGUGGGAAGGAUACGGAGCAAGGUUUUCCGACUAGCAGCACUAACAGUAAACGUGCAAAGGUUGAUGAUGUGUCACAAAAUGAGAUAUCAGCGGCCUCCCUGGAGGAGGACCGCCGGACGUAA